rnacentral:rRNA from 1 species
GACGUAGGGCGCGAGCGUUGUCCGGAUUUAUUGGGCGUAAAGAGCUCGUAGGCGGCUUGUCGCGUCGGCUGUGAAAACCCGCGGCUCAACUGUGGGCGGGCAGCUGAUACGGGCAGGCUGGAGUUCGGUAGGGGAGACUGGAAUUCCUGGUGUAGCGGUGAAAUGCGCAGAUAUCAGGAGGAACACCGGUGGCGAAGGCGGCUUGCUGGGCCAGUUCUGACGCUGAGGAGCGAAAGCGUGGGGAGCGAACAGG